rnacentral:rRNA from 1 species
UAGGGAAUCUUCCACAAUGGGCGAAAGCCUGAUGGAGCAACGCCGCGUGUGUGAUGAAGGAUUUCGGCUCGUAAAACACUGUUGUAAGAGAAGAAUGACAUUGAGAGUAACUGUUCAAUGUGUGACGGUAUCUUACCAGAAAGGAACGGCUAAAUACGUGCCAG